CUCUCUCCAGCUCCUCCAUUAUGCUCCUUUGUGAGGUUUUGAUAGUUUGGUGUGGAGCUCGCUGCCAACUCCUCUCAUUCAAGAGUCUCUUCUGAGUUCAGUGGCCACUGCCUCCCCUAAGGUACUUCAGAAAAAAUACUACUGAAAAGUCCAAGGCAUCAAAUUCCUCAUUCGUGGGAUGUCGUCGUGAUACUGCCUUCUGGAGGUCGAUUACAAUAGUCUGCAUAGCUGAAAUAUGCUGAAUACUCAAUUCCAUGUACGGUGAUGCUGACCAUAGUUGUCCUUGACCACCGUUCCCAACACUGCUCCACAUCUAUGACGCGUGAGGACCGUGAUGAUAUGUGGGCAGCAUUGUGUGAGCGGAGCCAGCCUCACAGUCGGUGUUUCUUGUGUGUGACAUCCAGAAGCUUGUCAUUGACAGGCUCGGGCAUGGUCUGUUGCUCCCCUUGAGUGGCUGGGGCUGGUGGCCAGUCCCUCUGCACUUUCCUCCUGGUAACUUGGUCCUCGGUAUAGUCUAUGAAGUGGCUGGCUGACUUGGGAAAUGAGACUCAGGCUCUGGUCGCAGACAGGAAUCCUGGCUUCAGAGUGAAAGCAGAGCCACGGGAUGGGGUCAUGCGCAGAGUCAAAUGGAUGGAGCCACCUCGUCUGACACAAGGAGAAAUCAAAGGCAGGUGUGGGGUGUGGGCUCAGAGAUGGGGUAAGAGCUUGGAACUCUCAGCCAGUCAUCCUAUGCUCUGGGAACUUUCCUCCCAAGCCUCGGCAGACCCAGAGCAGAGCCCCUGUGGCUCAUGCAGUCGCAGAAAGUAGGCUUGGCUUCAGCUUUUGCAAAGCAACGGUUAGGGGAAAGCUAGGACAAUCCUAGAUCUGCGCUGAGUACAAUUACCCCAGCCCGGACAAGUGUGCUGUCUGCUGCAGCAUCUACUCACAGCUGGCUGAUCUCCCUCGCUGCUGGUGUGAAGUAGCUGUGACGGUUGCCAUGUUACCUGCAACUUCCUGCCGUUGGGAGAAGAGGAAG